rnacentral:rRNA from 1 species
CACUCCUGCGGGAGGCAGCAGUGGGGAAUAUUGGACAAUGGGCGCAAGCCUGAUCCAGCCAUGCCGCGUGAGUGAUGAAGGCCCUAGGGUUGUAAAGCUCUUUCACCGGUGAAGAUAAUGACGGUAACCGGAGACGAAGCCCCGGCUAACUUCGUGCCAGCAGCCGCGGUAAUACGAAGGGGGCUAGCGUUGUUCGGAUUUACUGGGCGUAAAGCGCACGUAGGCGGACUAUUAAGUCAGGGGUGAAAUCCCGGGGCUCAACCCCGGAACUGCCUUGGAUACUGGUAGUCUUGAGUGCGAGAGAGGUGAGUGGAAUUCCGAGUGUAGAGGUGAAAUUCGUAGAUAUUCGGAGGAACACCAGUGGCGAAGGCGGAUCACUGGCUCGAUACUGACGCUGAGGUGCGAAAGCGUGGGGAGCAAACAGGAGUAGAAACCCCGGUAGUCCCA